GCCUAGUUAGCUUGGUUGAUAGCGCGUCCGCCUUGUAAGCGAUAAGUUGCGGGUUCGAUUCCCGCUCGAGGUC
rnacentral:tRNA from 1 species